rnacentral:snRNA from 1 species
GGAUGUGAGGGUGAUCUGGCUGUGACAUCUGUCACCCCAUUGAUCGCCAGGGUUGAUUCGGCUGAUCUGGCUGGCUAGGCGGGUGUCCCCUUCCUCCCUCACCACUCCAUGUGCAUCCCUCCCAAAGCUGCACGCUUGGUCGAAGAGGACGACCAUCCCCGAGAGAGGAGGACCGUUCUUCGGUCAAGGGUAUACGAGUAGCUGCGCUCCCCUGCUAGAACCUCCAAACAAGCUCUCAAAAAUAAAAUUAGAAUUUAACUCUGUUGACACCUACAAAACUAUUUAAUGUGGUUUCUAGAAUUCAGAAUACCUGAAUUU